CCGAUAUAGCUCAGUUGGUAGAGCAACUCAUUCGUAAUGAGUAGGUCGGGAGUUCGAAUCUCCCUAUCGG
rnacentral:tRNA from 1 species